UAUUGCACAAUGGGCGAAAGCCUGAUGCAGCAACGCCGCGUGAAGGAAGAAGGCCUUCGGGUCGUAAACUUCUGUCCUUGGGGAAGAAGAACUGACGGUACCCAAGGAGGAAGCCCCGGCUAACUACGUGCCAGCAGCCGCGGUAAUACGUAGUGGGCAAGCGUUAUCCGGAAUUAUUGGGCGUAAAGAGUACGUAGGUGGCAACCUAAGCGCAGGGUUUAGGGCAAUGGCUCAACCAUUGUUCGCCCUGCGAACUGGGAUGCUUGAGUGCAGGAGAGGAAAGCGGAAUUCCUAGUGUAGCGGUGAAAUGCGUAGAUAUUAGGAGGAACACCAGUGGCGAAGGCGGCUUUCUGGACUGUAACUGACACUGAGGUACGAAAGCGUGGGGAGCAAACAGG
rnacentral:rRNA from 1 species